AUUUUGUUGGUAUUUUAUGGUUUUAAUUGAUUUUUUUUAUAUUUCCUGCUUUUAUUUGUUUCAUUGUCUUUGUCUCUCUUCCCUUCUUUCUUUCUAAAAGUGGGCUUUAUCUUCAAUUCACUAAUUUAAUUAAAAUUUAAUUAUAUACAUACACCCACACACACACACACACACACACACACACACACACACACACACAAUGCUACUACUAUUAUUAUUGGGUUGGAGGAUUCUUCAAAUACAAAGUAUUACUGUGUGGAAUAUUAGAAUGUGUGAACAAAUUGUAACUUUAUCAUUUUUGUUGUCUUUAUUAUCAUCAUUAUAAUUAUUAUUACUAUUAUUAUUAUUAUUAUUAUUAUUAUUAUUAUUAUUAUUAUUAUUAUUAUUAUUAUUAUUAUUAUUAUUAUUAUUAUUAUUAUUAUUAUUAAGGCAGCAAGCUGGCAGAAUUGUUAGCACACUGGCCAAAAUGCUUAGCAGUGUUUCGCCUGUCAUUCCAUUCUGAGCUCAGAUUCUGUUGAGGUCGACUUUGCCUUUUCAUCCUUUCAGGGUCAAUAAGAUAAAUACCAUUUGAAUACAGGGGUCAAUGUAAUUGACUUAAUCACUUCUCCCAAAUUUGAGGUGUUUUGCUUCCAGUAGAAAGGAUUAUUAUUUUAUUAUUAUUAUUAUUAUUAUCAUUAUUAUUAGUAUUAUUAUUUAUUGUUUGUCUGUUCUGUUUUUUUGUAUCACUAACUACUCAAGCAUAAACUAGAAGGAAGCAGUAUGAUAAUAAUGAUGACUUUGCCUCUUUGCUAUACUGGCAUUAGUUGAUAAAAAAUUGAAAAAUAAAUUAACUAGGUCAUACCUCUACAAUUGAUCUAUUAAUGCAUUAAACAAAUGAUGUUUUUUUAUUUAUUUAUUUAUUUUUGUUUUUACAUUUUUCUCCCCCUCAGUUGUAUACCACAUCCAGCCUAAAACUUCCAUCCAGCUCAUGUAAUUGUAUGUGUAAGAAUGUCAGAU